rnacentral:rRNA from 1 species
AGAGUUUGAUCAUGGCUCAGAUUGAACGCUGGCGGCAUGCCUUACACAUGCAAGUCGGACGGCAGCACGGGAGCUUGCUCCUGGUGGCGAGUGGCGAACGGGUGAGUAAUACAUCGGAACGUACCCUGAAGUGGGGGAUAACGUAGCGAAAGUUACGCUAAUACCGCAUAUUCUGUGAGCAGGAAAGAGGGGGAUCGCAAGACCUCUUGCUUUAGGAGCGGCCGAUGUCGGAUUAGCUAGUUGGUGAGGUAAAGGCUCACCAAGGCGACGAUCCGUAGCGGGUCUGAGAGGGUGAUCCGCCACACUGGGACUGAGACACGGCCCAGACUCCUACGGGAGGCAGCAGUGGGGAAUUUUGGACAAUGGGCGCAAGCCUGAUCCAGCCAUGCCGCGUGAGUGAAGAAGGCCUUCGGGUUGUAAAGCUCUUUCGGUGGGGAAGAAAUUGCUUCGGUUAAUACCUGGAGUAGAUGACGGUACCCGCAUAAGAAGCACCGGCUAACUACGUG